rnacentral:rRNA from 1 species
GAUGAACGCUGGCGGCGUGCCUAAUACAUGCAAGUCGAGCGAACGGACGAGAAGCUUGCUUCUCUGAUGUUAGCGGCGGACGGGUGAGUAACACGUGGAUAACCUACCUAUAAGACUGGGAUAACUUCGGGAAACCGUAGCUAAUACCGGAUAAUAUUUUGAACCGCAUGGUUCAAAAGUGAAAGACGGUCUUGCUGUCACUUAUAGAUGGAUCCGCGCUGCAUUAGCUAGUUGGUAAGGUAACGGCUUACCAAGGCAACGAUGCGUAGCCGACCGGAGAGGAUGAUCAGCCACACUGGAACUGAGACACGGUCCAGACUCCUACGGGAGGCAGCAGGGGGGAAUAUUGGACAAUGGGCGAAAGCCUGAUGCAGCAAUACCGAGUGGGUGAAGAAGGCCUUCGGGUUGUAAAGCCCUUUUGUUGGGAAAGAAAAGCAGCAGGUUAAUACCCAGCUGUUCUGACGGUACCCAAAGAAUAAGCACCGGCUAACUUCGUG